UCCGCCUGCCUCGAUCUUCCAAAGUGCUGGGAUUAUAGGCAUGAGCCACGGUGCCCAGCCUUAUCUUUAAUUUUUUUUUAUAGAGACAGGGUCUCACUUUGCUGCCCAAGCUGAGAUUUCUUAAAAAGGGACAGCAUAAAAUGACAUGAGGUUUAGCUCAGCAGGUUUUAGUUCAACCUCAAGUUUCCAUAAUUCUUUUCAAGAACCUUAAACAAGUCACUCAACCAUCUUGAGUUUGAGUUUCUUCAUCUAAAAAACCCAGAGGAACUGGAAGAUUAGUGUGGCAAUGCAUCUGAAAAUAUUCUGUAAACCAGAGUGCUAGACAAAUGCUAACCUAUUACUGAAUUCAGCACUUCAUUCCAGCGGAGCUAGGAAUUCCAUAUUUGGACCCACCUUUACUGGAGAUUUCUGAAAAAGCUGCUUCCGGUCGCAUGCCUUUUGGGCUCUGCGGGCAGCCCUUGCUGAAUAAAACUUAAUGACGGCAUAAAAACCAGGAUGGGCCACUGCAGCAUUUGGGAAGACCCGGACUGAAUAUAGAAGGCCAAACUUGGAAAAUGCUGUGAACAGAGAAUGCUGCGGGGGUGGUCCCACCCCAAACUGUGGAGCAGAGAAAGCCUGCAGAGAGAGUUGUGAAGCAAAUGCACCAAGAGAAGCUGAAACCUGCCAUGGAAAGCUUGCUGACAAUUUCCAGCCCUGGUUCCAUGGUCUUUCUGGGGCCCAGCUGCAGCCCUUGAGUGGGCUCAGUGAGACAUCUGGUCCUCUCAGAAUAAAUUUUCCCCAGCUAGCUCAAGUUGUUUUCUGUUACCGCAACCUGAAGAGUUUUGUUUAAUACAAUAUCAUGGAAGAACCAGAUCCCAGGUCUUCUAACUCAGAGUUCCAAGCCCAUCGCUAUCCCACAUCUUUCUAGACACUGCAAGGGCGUGCCGGUGCGCUAAGAUAGGGAAGCUAAAAGCAGAAUCGAGGGGUAUGCCUACAGCUGCAAGAUGUAUGGGAACAGACACAGAAACUCUUCCUCCCAGAUAAGCAAGACAAAGAGACACAGACUAAAAGUUGGCCUAUGUGGUCGGGAAUGGGGUUCCAGCUGGCCCAGGGAUAUCUGGGAGGAUCUGUAGAAAAAGGCCGUCUACAGUAGGAGCCUCUUCUUCCUCACCACGUAUGUUUCAGCCCUGCCCAACUAACAGCUCUCCAUGUUCUAAAGAACGAGGGAGUGCUGGGCCAUCCCAACCUUCUGGAACUCCAGUUCUGUGAUGUCAUCCAUCUCCUGGAAAUACACUGGUUUUAACCAGGCAAAUUGGCCAAGCGUCAGGCAGAAUUAGCAGCUGGGCCUGGGAGGACAGGUGACAUCUGUGAGGAAAAUGGCCAGGUGGGACAGGGUGGAGAGCACUGGCUGUUUCGUUCCUUUUUGGGAGCAGCACCACCUUUGGGGGAGCUCCUUCCCUCAUGGAGUUUUAGUGGGGACUGCCAGUCCUAGGGCCCUGCCCCCCAACAUCCCCCAAUAAGCGUAGGAAUGCUUGUGUGCCAGUCACUUUAUUUGUAAACGGAAGCGGUGGACCUGCUCAGCUUCCAAUAGAAAGCCCGUGUGUGCAGGGCCAGAGGACACAGCCCUCUAAGGCACUAAGCCUCCAUAAAGAGGCAGUGGAAUCUGGACGGGAUUCCAGCCCUAGGGUACACCCUUUCUGGGACCCAAACACACCCUUCCCGUUCCUUCAAUUCUGAGACUCAAUAAAUGUCCCUACUUGCAGAACAAGUUUGAGUUGGGUUUCUGUCACUUGCAGCCAAAAGAGCCAGUCACAGUUGGCAUCAGGUCAACCAUCUGUGAAAUGGUGACCUGACACCCUGUCCCCUCCCUUUGAAGGCCACAACAUCCCAACACCAUUAGUCACCGAUGAAGUCCAGGAGAAAUUUCUACCAACUGUAGCAAAAAAGAGGCAAGGAAGAAAACAUUUUGUUACUGACGGUGCACUCUUCUCUCUGAAACAGAGAGGCAGGAUCUGACAGAAAAA